rnacentral:lncRNA from 1 species
AACUUUCUAGACUGGAGACUGCCAAAGAAAUUAUUAUUUUCUACCACCAACUUCUUCAUAUGGUAGAAAAUGCCAUCUUUUUAUAGAAUUAUGACAGAAACUUUAAAACAGAUACAAUGGUAUUAUUUUCAUUUUGCAUAAUGCAUUUGUACGUCAAGUCAUACAAGUUUGAUUGUACACUCGCGGACCAUCCAAUGAAUUCUCUAAAUUUAGUUUAAAACCCAAGCAUGACAUGAUUUCUUAUUUUGCAUCUUUCACCAUGUAGUGACCCCUAUAAAAGAAUCAAACAAAUACCAUGCUUAUUUUGACAUAAGCUCACCUACUAUUUGACCCACCUAAACUGGCAACCUUCAAAUACUCCAGACGAUGUUCCAUCAUGGAAAUCCAUGUGUUGCCAUAGAACAACACAAUAUCACUCAAGUUGUAUUUAUCAUGCUUACCGUCCUUAACUGGUUCUAUAUAUUAUUUCUGAAUAUGCACCUAUUUCACACCACCACCAGAUGAACAUUCCUCUUCGUUCUUCAUUAUUUAUCUCAGCACACCCUUUGACAUGAUAAGUUACUUCUUACAAUACUUUUCAUUGUUUUUUCAUGGAUUGGCAACACUCAUGUUUAGGUGUAUCUUUCUCCAAACUAUCCGAAUUUUGGACUAAUGGGAUAUUCAAAUAAAUGAUUAUUGUGAUUUGCCCAAUUCAUUUACUAUGCUCUCUUGUGCUCCUCAUUGGCUUUACCUGAAAUCAUUGCCAUCGUUUCUGAUCAAAUCACCUAGCAAAAGCAAAUUAAGUUGUUAAGAUAGAAAUAAAAAAGGAGAAAGUCUUUACUAAAAUAGAAAUCCAAUACAAUUCGAUCAAUACAUGCUUGCUCACUUAGCAUAAUUUGAACCACAAAGGGACAUGUCAAAAUAAUUCAAGUGCAUGAUGGAUGCUAACUUAUUUGAAUUACUUAAUUUGAGGGCUGAUAUCAAUGGACUAAUUACUAAUUAAACUUGCAAAAUAUAUCACAUUAAAAAGUAUGUAUAAUAUUUGAUUUUACCAAGGAGGCAUGGGAAUAUCUAUAAUCAAUGUGUUUGCUAGCUAGACAAUGUCACCGCUUCAACCUAAACUAAUGAAAAGGCACCAACCUGGUCCUGGCUAGAUUAUUUAACAGGUACUAUCAACUGAGGCAUGAUACUAAGGCAUUGCCACUGAAAAUGAAAAUAAAAUAUUAUCAUGAGUACUCAAGGCUCAGCACAGAUUGAGAUGAAAAUCGGAGGAGGCACACAGGUGGUGGGUGAUGGAGUGGCCCAGUGGAAGAAUGGCCACGUCGUCGCCAGAGCAGGAACACGCGAAGGCUCGCAUCCCGUUGGGCGGUUCUGGAGAAGGAUCUGCCCUCGAGCAUCUUCUCGCGGCGGCGGCGAACGGAUCCACGAUGAGGUCUGCAAUGAAGGCGGCGGUGGCUCCUCUCGUACCUCCGCGGCGGCGAAGCUCCGUGAUGAGGUCUGUCGGCGGCUCCUCUCGGAUGUCAGCGGCGGCAAUCUCGUACCUCGGCGGCGGGCGAGUGGAUCCAUGAUCGACCUAGCAAAUAGAUAGAUCGAGGGAAGUCGCGUUGUAUACCUAGAAUACUUUAAUAUUCACAUAAGAAGUGUCCUUGUAGGCUGGUAGCUGAGUCAAUCUUGACCCUUUAAUAAACUCAAUUAUAUUCUUCAUUUACACCCAGUUUAGUUAGAAGUACUAACAAACAAUUCAGUAUGCUAUCGUCUGAUAAUAUACUGACAUUGUAGAUACGUAGGCACGUAACGAUUGAACUACUUUAUUUAUUUUUCCACACUACAGAGACAGGUGCUUCUAGAAAUUCCAAAGUAUACGCCAAAAAAAAAAUUCUUUAUGAAAACAUUGGACAGCUAUGCUGCAAGGUAGCAAGUAAUCUCACGGCAAUUUCAGAAGCAAAACAAUGGAAAAGGAUGUGCAAACCUCUUAAGGAUUUGAGAAAGCUCAUAGCUCCUCAAUCAAGUCAAUCAUUAAUUUUACAUAGCCCAUAGAAAUCAGCCGCCUCAACAAUCUCCUCCCCAUUGGAUCUGGUACGAGCAAGGUCCUCGAGGCUGAAAUAAACCAUCAUCCAUGUGGGCAACUACAAUGACUGAAAAAUAUCUGGUCAUUAAUAUGGGCAGCAAGAAAAACAUGCACAGAACUGGAAGGCUAACUCUAAAACCAAACUUAAAAUGGGAGCUAAUUAUUUAUGUGCUCUAAAUCCAUAUAAAAACUAAUGAUCAUUCUCUGUCUGAAAAGAAGUAACUUCCAUGAAUGGGGGAGGGGGUCUGUACCUGAAUGAAAUCAUUGCGCACAACAGAGCAAAGCUGAUAUUGUUAUAAAAAAGUACUUCUUGAUACAAGGACAAAACCAGGAAAGACCAUGUGCAAAAUAAACUUUCUCAUCAAUCUAGCUGGGGGCCUGUUCAUAUGUACAAGAGAAGGAUCAACAAAGGAAAUAACAUAUCAAGAAAAGAAAAGAAAAAAUAUUAGAAUGUAAAUAUGUUUGCUCAUCUAUUACACCUUCUGCCUUUUUGAUAAACAUAAUUAUAUUUUAAUUUGCUCCGUUGUUUUCUUAUUUUGUUACCAAACUGCCAUAUGUGGUACACGACGAAGCAUUUACCUGAAGGCGUUAAUAUCUUUUUCAGCUUUUUAGUCUUACUGAAUACUCAUGAAGGAGUCAAGGACUUGUUUGCUACUGUAUAUUAAUAGGAGUAGGUAAAAGGCCAGUGUGGGUAAAAAUAUUAUAAGGACACAUACAUUAAAUUCAAUGACAAAAUCAAGCUUUCAAAUGAUGCUUAUGUGGUAUUGCAACUAACUCCGACAUCCAAAUGUACUGUAAAAUAAAACUAUUUAACAUCCGCUGUGAGCAAGCACAAGUAUUGAUCAAUUUUACAAUUGUUGAUUUAGAUCCCAAGAGGCUAUAUUUCUUUAUUCAACUGCUAUAAAUAAACUAAAUAAGAUGAGAGUGACACUACAGACAUAAAACUGAAUUUGCAAGAUCGACAUCCCCUAAGUGCUUCUCUUCUCACCUGCUUCCUUCUGGAUGUUUUGAAUGUUCAAUGGAAAACAAAAUUAAAAAUACAUGGUCAGAUAAGUGCAACCUCAGUUUAUAAAAGAAUGUUAUUGAGAGAAUUGCAUCCCACCAAAAACAAACCUUAAUUUUAGACAUAUAGUUUGAUGCCUUACCUACAGUUGUAACCUUCUGAACAAGUAUGCCAAUCUGCAUGUUCGAACAGAAUUUUCUAUCGGAGAGCAAGUAGAGGUUUAUACAUCAAAAUCUUCUAUGAGAAGCAAGCAGAGGUUAUACAUUAUACAGAGGAGACUAAUAGAAGUACCAACUCGAUAUUUCUUGUUGGUCCAUACUUCCAUUGUCGGCAUGAAAAUGAAGCACUGCCACCGUUGCCGACUCCUCCAAAUGCCCAUUGGUGUAGGCAUGCUGGAGAAAAUACAGUACUGCACGAGUCAAACCGAAGAAGCAAAGAGCGUAGGAAAAUAGACAAUUGAAUACUGAAAGAAAGGUGAAGAUAACCACCAUAUGCAUAGUUCAUUACAUGAGUUAAAUUACAAUGGUAAUAUUCCAAGGCCAUCUCAUAGUCCCUAUUUUACAAAGCAUGGCUUUGAUGAACAUACCAAUCAGCUACUCUUAACGUUCCACAUCACCUAAUCUAGCAAUGAUUGCAGAAAACUUACAAUAUUAUUUAGAGGUGCUAGUUCAAACUAUGACGAAUUAUUUGCAUGGCUUAUCAUCAGCAGUUAUGUUUUUACUGCCUUUAGUAUUUUAAUUAGGCCUCAUUCAGAACUGCUGCUGCACAUUAAGUAUGAGAAGGUAACAGCAGGCAAAAUAUCACUCUAGGCACUGGUCAAGUUUCAGUUGAGAAUUCACAAAUUAUAUAAGAAGUAUAUGUGAUGAUAGAUUUGAAUCUGAAACGAGAUCAGCAUAUGUAUACCUUGUAAGAACAUCGUCCGCCAAAGGGGCAAGAGUAUCCCUUCUAAAGUCAAAGUACCUACAAUCAGUCAAUGUGAAAUAACAUGUGUGGCUGAGACAAAUGUUUCAUGAAUCAACUUCUACUCUGAAGAACAUACAAAUGAAAUUCUCUCUGGAGUACUAUUAACCUAAUGAUCAUAUAGUGAGAUGCAAGCAACCAUUAGAUUUACUGUUACUGGCCUAAGAAUUUCUGUAUUUCUGUCUCAAAAAGUAAAAAUUCAGUCCUGAAUCCGCCCGCCACCCACGCAUCUAUCACAAACCUCAUCCCCUGCUGCUCCUUGAUGGUGCAACUCCUCCCCUGCUGCUCCUCGAUGCUGCAACUCCUCCCCUACUGCUCCUCGAUGGUGCACCUCCACCCACGAUGGCACAACCAGCAGCCCUUGCUCCACGACACCGAACCUACCAGUACUGAUGGAUAUGGGUUUCGGUGACCUCCGACCUGAACUGUUGCGGCUCAAAAAAUCAACAAAACAAGAUUAGCACGUUGGAAAGAAAAUCAAAAAAGAAAUCACACGCAUCAGUACAUACAACCAGCAUAGUACAAGCAACAAGCGCAGCUAGCAAGGCCAGCAACCGUACGCGCAACACCCGUGCAUGGGGCGCACAACAUGCGCACCUGCCGAGGAGAAGCAGGGCCGGCGCAGCACGCGCAGCACCUGCGAACGCAGCGAACAACACGCGCACCGGCUGGAGAAAAGCAGGGCCAGCGCCGCCAUCCACGCGCCGCGAUGCCCCAGCAUGGCGCCAUGAAGGACGGUUUCCUUCUCCGCCCCAGCACGGCGCCACCGCUGCCCUUGCUUCUCCACCCACACCGCGACGCCCCAGCCGCUCCACCCACUCAUUGGCACGCCCGCCUCACUCCGCUCCUCAUUGCCUGCAGCACAACUCGGCGGCUAGGGUUAGCUGCAGGAGCGCGCGUAGGGACUUAACGAGAGAUGAUGGCGGCGCUAUUUAAUCGAGGGGAUGGAGGGCCGACGGCGGGGCCGCUUACUCGAGGGAUCGAGAGCUGAGGGCGGCGGCGGCGGGAGGGGAUCAAGAGGAACGGUGUUUCAUGCGGGGUGCGUGAUGGUUUUUUUGUGCGUGCGUGCAUGGGAUAGUUUUUUAUCGCUGGUUAAUCAUCAUAGAUUUUUUCUUCGUCGCGAUCGAUGGUUACGACCUAAAGAGUGAGGGGGCUGCUCGAGGACUUGAUUUUUUCGGUGCAUGGUGGGUCAGCGUGAGGUGGGAGGAGAUGGGAGGAGGUACCAAAAUAGGUACCAAAAAACCCGGGUGAGGUGGGACGAAAAUAAACCUGGAACGAAGACUACCAACUGAGACAUUAGGAGUAGACAUAUAGUUUGAUGCCUUACCUACAGUUGUAACCUUCUGAGCAAGUAUGCCAAUCUGCAUGUUCGAACAGAAUUUUCUAUCGGAGAGCAAGCAGAGGUUUAUACAUCAGAAUCUUCUAUGAGAAGCAAGCAAAGGUUAUACAUUAUACAGAGGAGACUAAUAGAAGUACCAACUCGAUAUUUCUUGCUGGUCCAUACUUCCAUUGUCGGCAAGAAAAUGAAGCACUGCCACCGUUGCCGACUCCUCCAAAUGCCCAUCGGUGUAGGCAUGCUGGAGAAAAUACAGUACUGCACGAGUCAAACCGAAGAAGCAAAGAGCGUACGAAAAUAGACAAUUGAAUACUGAAAGAAAGGAGAAGAUAACCACCAUAUGCAUAGUUCAUUACAUGAGUCAAAUUACAAUGGUUAUAUUCCAAGGCCAUCUCACAGUCCCUAUUUUACAAAGCAUGGCUUUGAUGAACAUACCAAUCAGCUACUCUUAACGUUCUACAUCACCUAAGCUAGCAAUGAUUGCAGAAAACUUAUAAUAUUAUUUAGAGGUGCUAGUUCAAACUAUGACGAAUUAUUUGCAUGGCUUAUCAUCAGCAGUUAUGUUUUUACUGCCUUUAGUAUUUUAAUUAGGCUUCAUUCAGAACUGUUGCUGCACAUUAAGUAUGAGAAGGUAACAGCAGGCAAAAUAUCACUCUAGGCACUGGUCAAGUUUCAGUUGAGAAUUCACACAUUAUAUAAGAAGUAUACGGGAUGAUAGAUUUGAAUCUGAAACGAGAUCAGCAUAUGUAUACCUUGUAAGAACAUCGGCCGCCAAAGGGGCAAGAGUAUCCCUUCUAAACCCAAAGUACCUACAAUCAGUCAACGUGAAAUAACAUUUGUGGCUGAGACAAAUGUUUCAUGAAUCAACCUCUACUCUGAAGAACAUACAAAUGAAAUUCUCUCUAGAGUACUAUUAACCUAACGAUCAUAUCGUGAGAUGCAUGCAACCAUUAGAUUUACUGUUACUGGCCUAAGAAUUUCUGUAUUUCUGUCUCAAAAAGUAAAAAUUCAGUCCUGAAUCCGCCCGCCACCCAUGCAUCUAUCACAAACCUCAUCCCCUGCUACUCCUUGAUGGUGCAACUCCUCCCCUACUGCUCCUCGAUGCUGCAACUCCUCCCCUACUGCUCCUCGAUGGUGCACCUCCACCCACGAUGGCGCAACCAGCAGCCCUUGCUCCACGACACCGGACCGACCAGUAGUGAUGGAUAUGGGUUUCGGUGACCUCCGACCUGAACUGAUGUGGUUCAAAAAAUCAACAAAACAAGAUUAGCAUGUUGGAAUGAAAAACAAAGAAGAAAUCACACGCAUGAGUACAUACAGCCAGCAUAGUACAAGCAACAAGCGCAGCUAGCAAGGCCGGCAACCGUACGCGCAGCACCCGCGCAUGGGGCGCACAACAUGCGCACCUGCCGAGGAAAAGCAGGGCCGGCGCAGCAUGCGCAGCACCUGCGGACGUGGUGAACAACACGUGCACCGACCGGAGAGAAGCAGGGCUAGCGCCGCCAUCCAUGCACUGCGACGCCCCAGCACGGCGCCACGAAGGACGGUUUACUUCUCCGCCCCAGCACGGCGCCACCGCUGCCCUUGCUUCUCCACCCACGCCGCGACGCCCCAGCCGCUCCACCCACUCAGCGACACGCCCGCCUCGCUCCGCUCCUCAUUCCCUGCAGCACAACUCGGCGGCUAGGGUUAGCUGCAGGGGUGCACAUAGGGACUUAACGAGAGAUGACGGCGGCGCCGUUUAAUCGAGGGGAUGGAGGGCCGACGGCGGCGCCGCUUACUCGAGGGAUCGAGAGCUGAGGGCGGCGGCGGCGGGAGGGGAUCAAGAGGAACGGUGUUUCAUGCGGGGUGUGGGAUGGUUUUUUUGUGCGUGCGUACGUGGGAUAGUUUUUUAUCGCUGGUUAAUCGUCGUAGAUUUUUUCUUCGUCGCGAUCGAUGGUUACGACCUGAAGAACGAGGGGGCUGCUGGAGGACUUGAUUUUUUCGGCUCGUGGUGGGUCAGCGCAAGGUGGGAGGAGAUGGGAGGAGGUACCAAAAUAGGUACCAAAAAACCCGGGUGAGGUGGGACGAAAAUAAACCUGGAAUGGAGACCACCAACUGAGACAUUAGGAGUAGACAUAUAGUUUGAUGCCUUACCUACAGUUGUAACCUUAAGAGCAAGUAUGCCAAUCUGCAUGUUCGAACAGAAUUUUCUAUCGGAGAGCAAGCAGAGGUUUAUACAUCAGAAUCUUCUAUGAGAAGCAAGCAGAGGUUAUACAUUAUAUAGAGGAGACUAAUAGAAGUACCAACUCGAUAUUUCUUGCUGGUCCAUACUUCCAUUGUCGGCAAGAAAAUGAAGCACUGCCACCGUUGCCGACUCCUCCAAAUGCCCAUCGGUGUAGGCAUGCUGGAGAAAAUACAGUACUGCAUGAGUCAAACCGAAGAACCAAAGAGCGUACGAAAAUAGACAAUUGAAUACUGAAAGAAAGGAGAAGGUAACCACCAUAUGCAUAGUUCAUUACAUGAGUCAAAUUACAAUGGUUAUAUUCCAAGGCCAUCUCACAGUCCCUAUUUUACAAAGCAUGGCUUUGAUGAACAUACCAAUCAGCUACUCUUAACGUUCUACAUCACCUAAGCUAGCAAUGAUUGCAGAAAACUUAUAAUAUUAUUUAGAGGUUCUAGUUCAAACUAUGACGAAUUAUUUGCAUGGCUUAUCAUCAGCAGUUAUGUUUUUACUGCCUUUAGUAUUUGAAUUAGGCUUCAUUCAGAACUGCUGCUGCACAUUAAGUAUGAGAAGGUAACAGCAGGCAAAAUAUCACUCUAGGCACUGGUCAAGUUUCAGUUGAGAAUGCACACAUUAUAUAAGAAGUAUAUGUGAUGAUAGAUUUGAAUCUGAAACGAGAUCAGCAUAUGUAUACCUUGUAAGAACAUCGGCCGCCAAAGGGGCAAGAGUAUCCCUUCUAAACUCAAAGUACCUACAAUAAGUCAACGUGAAAUAACAAGUGUGGCUGAGACAAAUGAUUCAUGAAUAUACCUCUACUCUGAAGAACAUACAAAUGAAAUUCUCUCUGAAGUACUAUUAACCUAACGAUCAUAUCGUGAGAUGCAUGCAACUAUUAGAUUUACUGUUACUGGCCUAAGAAUUUCUGUAUUUCUGUCUCAAAAAGUAAAAAUUCAGUCCUGAAUCCGCCCGCCACCCACGCAUCUAUCACAAACCUAAUCCCCUGCUACUCCUUGAUGGUGCAACUCCUCCCCUGCUGCUCCUCGAUGCUGCAACUCCUCCCCUAGUGCUCCUCGAUGGUGCACCUCUACCCACGAGGGCGCAACCAGAAGCCCUUGCUCCACGACACCGGACCAACCAGUAGUGAUGGAUAUGUGUUUCGGUGACCUCUGACCUGAACUGAUGUGGCUCAAAAAAUCAACAAAACAAGAUUAGCACGUUGGAAAGAAAAUCAAAGAAGAAAUCACACGCGUCAGUACAUACAGCCAUCAUAGUACAAGCAACAAGCACAGCUAGCAAGGCCGACAACUGUACGCGCAACACCCGCGCAUGGGGCGCACAACAUGCGCACCUGCCGAGGAGAAGCAGGGUCGGCGCAGCACGCACAGCACCUACGGACGCGGCGAACAGCAGGCGCACUAGCCGGAGAAACGCAAGGCCAGUGCCGCCAUCCACACGCCGCGACGCCCCAGCACGGCGCCUCGAAGGACGGUUUACUUCUCCGCCCCAGCACGGCACCACCGCUGCCCUUAGUUCUCCACCCAUGCCGCGACGCCCCAACCGCUCCACCCACUCAGUGACACGCCCGCCUCGCUCCGCUCCUCAUUGCCUGCAGCACAACUUGGCGGCUAGGGUUAGCCGCAGGGGCGCGCGUAAGGACUUAACGAGAGAUGACGACGGUGUCGUUUAAUCGAGGGAAUGGAGGGCCGACGGCGGCUCCGCUUACUUGAGAGAUCGAGAGCUGAGGGCGGCGGCGGCGGGAGGGGAUCGAGAAGAACGGUGUUUCCUGUGGGGUGCGGGAUGGUUUUUUUGUGCGUGCGUGCGUGGGAUAGGUUUUGUUUAUCGCUGGUUAAUCGUCGUAGAUUUUUUCUUCCUCGCGAUCGAUGGUUAUGACCUGAAGAGCGAGGGGUCUGCUGGAGGACUAGAUUUUUUCGGUUCGUGGUGGGUCAGCGUGAGGUGGGAGAUGGGAGGAGGUACCAAAAUAGGUACCAAAAAAACUGGGUGAGGUGGGACGAAAAUAAACCUAGAAUACCUAAGUUCAAUAGGUUUACGUCCGCUAUCCCGAUCAUGAUUUUCCUACCCUGAGGGGGAAAGUAAAAGGCCCUUCCCCCUUUGGAAGGCUGUGGGCGAGGAGGGGUUCGAACCCCUGACACCGUGGUUCGUAGCCACGUGCUCUAAUCCUCUGAGGUACAACUAAGACAUUAGGAGUAGACACAUAUUUUGAUGCCUUACCUACAGUUGUAACCUUCUGAGCAAGUAUGCCAAUCUGCAUGUUCGAACGGAAUUUUCUAUCGGAGAGCAAGCACAGGUUUAUACAUCAGAAUCUUCUAUGAGAAGCAAGCAGAGGUUAUACAUUAUACAGAGGAGACUAAUAGAAGUACCAACUCGAUAGUUCUUGCUGGUCCAUACUUCCAUUGUCAGCAAGAAAAUGAAGCACUGCCACCGUUGCCGACUCCUCCAAAUGCCCAUCGGUGUAGGCAUGCUGGAGAAAAUACAGUGCUGCAUGAGUCAAACCGAAGAAGCAAAGAGUGUACGAAAAUAGACAAUUGAAUACUGAAAGAAAGGAGAAGGUAACCACCAUAUGCAUAGUUCAUUACAUGAGUCAAAUUACAAUGGUUAUAUUCCAGGGCCAUCUCACAGUCCCUAUUUUACAAAGCAUGGCUUUGAUGAACAUACCAAUCAGCUACUCUUAACGUUCUACAUCACCUAAGCUAGCAAUGAUUGCAGAAAACUUGUAAUAUUAUUUAGAGGUGCUAGUUCAAACUAUGACGAAUUAUUUGCAUGGCUUAUCAUCAGCAGUUAUGUUUUUACUGCCUUUAGUAUUUUAAUUAGGCUUCAUUCAGAACUGCUGCUGCACAUUAAGUAUGAGAAGGUAACAGCAGGCAAAAUAUCACUCUAGGCACUGGUCAAGUUUCAGUUGAGAAUUCACACAUUAUAUAAGAAGUAUAUGUGAUGAUAGAUUUGAAUCUGAAAUGAGAUCAACAUAUGUAUACCUUGUAAGAACAUCGGCCACCAAAGGGGCAAGAGUAUCCCUUCUAAACUCAAAGUACCUACAAUCAAUCAACGUGAAAUAACAUUUGUGGCUGAGACAAAUGUUUCAUGAAUCAACCUCUACUCUGAAGAACAUACAAAUGAAAUUCUCUCUAGAGUACUAUUAACCUAAUGAUCAUAUCGUGAGAUGCAUGCAACCAUUAGAUUUACUGUUACUGGCCUAAGAAUUUCUGUAUUUAUGUCUCAAAAAGUAAAAAUUCAGUCCUGAAUCCGCCCGCCACCCAUGCAUCUAUCACAAACCUCAUCCCCUGCUACUCCUUGAUGGUGCAACUCCUCCCCUGCUGCUCCUCGAUGCUGCAACUCCUCCCCUACUGCUCCUCGAUGGUGCACCUCCACCCACGAUGGCGCAACCAGCAGCCCUUGCUCCACGACACCGGACCGACCAGUAGUGAUGGAUAUGGGUUUCGGUGACCUCCGACCUGAACUGAUGUGGUUCAAAAAAUCAACAAAACAAGAUUAGCACAUUGGAAAGAAAAACAAAGAAGAAAUCACACGCAUGAGUACAUACAGCCAGCAUAGUACAAGCAACAAGCGCAGCUAGCAAGGCCGGCAACCGUACGCGCAGCACCCGCGCAUGGGGCGCACAACAUGCGCACCUGCCGAGGAAAAGCAGGGCCGGCGCAGCAUGCGCACCACCUGCGGACGUGGUGAACAACACGUGCACCGGCCGGAGAGAAGCAGGGCUAGCGCCGCCAUCCAUGCACUGCGACGCCCCAGCACGGCGCCACGAAGGAUGGUUUACUUCUCCGCCCCAGCACGGCGCCACCGCUGCCCUUGCUUCUCCACCCACGCCGCGACGCCCCAGCAGCUCCACCCACUCAGCGACACGCCCGCCUCGCUCCACUCCUCAUUCCCUGCAGCACAACUCGGCGGCUAGGGUUAGCUGCAGGGGUGCACGUAGGGACUUAACGAGAGAUGACGGCGGCGCCAUUUAAUCGAGGGGAUGGAGGGCCGACGGCGGCGCCGCUUACUCGAGGGAUCGAGAGCUGAGGGCGGCGGCGGCGGGAGGGGAUCAAGAGGAACGGUGUUUCAUGCGGGGUCCGGGAUGGUUUUUUUGUGCGUGCGUGCGUGGGAUAGUUUUUUAUCGCUGGUUAAUCGUCGUAGAUUUUUUCUUCGUCGCGAUCGAUGGUUACGACCUGAAGAACGAGGGGGCUGCUGGAGGACUUGAUUUUUUCGGCUCGUGGUGGGUCAGCGCAAGGUGGGAGGAGAUGGGAGGAGGUACCAAAAUAGGUACCAAAAAACCCGGGUGAGGUGGGACGAAAAUAAACCUGGAAUGGAGACCACCAACUGAGACAUUAGGAGUAGACAUAUAGUUUGAUGCCUUACCUACAGUUGUAACCUUAAGAGCAAGUAUGCCAAUCUGCAUGUUCGAACAGAAUUUUCUAUCGGAGAGCAAGGAGAGGUUUAUACAUCAGAAUCUUCUAUGAGAAGCAAGCAGAGGUUAUACAUUAUACAGAGGAGACUAAUAGAAGUACCAACUCGAUAUUUCUUGCUGGUCCAUACUUCCAUUGUCGGCAAGAAAAUGAAGCACUGCCACCGUUGCCGACUCCUCCAAAUGCCCAUCGGCGUAGGCAUGCUGGAGAAAAUACAGUACUGCAUGAGUCAAACCGAAGAAGCAAAGAGCGUACGAAAAUAGACAAUUGAAUACUGAAAGAAAGGAGAAGGUAACCACCAUAUGCAUAGUUCAUUACAUGAGUCAAAUUACAAUGGUUAUAUUCCAAGGCCAUCUCACAGUCCCUAUUUUACAAAGCAUGGCUUUGAUGAACAUACCAAUCAGCUACUCUUAACGUUCUACAUCACCUAAGCUAGCAAUGAUUGCAGAAAACUUAUAAUAUUAUUUAGAGGUGCUAGUUCAAACUAUGACGAAUUAUUUGCAUGGCUUAUCAUCAGCAGUUAUGUUUUUACUGCCUUUAGUAUUUGAAUUAGGCUUCAUUCAGAACUGCUGCUGCACAUUAAGUAUGAGAAGGUAACAGCAGGCAAAAUAUCACUCUAGGCACUGGUCAAGUUUCAGUUGAGAAUUCACACAUUAUAUAAGAAGUAUAUGUGAUGAUAGAUUUGAAUCUGAAACGAGAUCAGCAUAUGUAUACCUUGUAAGAACAUCGGCCGCCAAAGGGGCAAGAGUAUCCCUUCUAAACUCAAAGUACCUACAAUAAGUCAACGUGAAAUAACAAGUGUGGCUGAGACAAAUGAUUCAUGAAUAUACCUCUACUCUGAAGAACAUACAAAUGAAAUUCUCUCUGAAGUACUAUUAACCUAACGAUCAUAUCGUGACAUGCAUGCAACUAUUAGAUUUACUGUUACUGGCCUAAGAAUUUCUGUAUUUCUGUCUCAAAAAGUAAAAAUUCAGUCCUGAAUCCGCCCGCCACCCACGCAUCUAUCACAAACCUCAUCCCCUGCUACUCCUUGAUGGUGCAACUCCUCCCCUGCUGCUCCUCGAUGCUGCAACUCCUCCCCUAGUGCUCCUCGAUGGUGCACCUCUACCCACGACGGCGCAACCAGAAGCCCUUGCUCCACGACACCGGACCAACCAGUAGUGAUGGAUAUGUGUUUCAGUGACCUCUGAACUGAACUGAUGUUUCUCAAAAAAUCAACAAAACAAGAUUAGCACGUUGGAAAGAAAAUCAAAGAAGAAAUCACACGCAUCAGUACAUACAGCCAUCAUAGUACAAGCAACAAGCACAGCUAGCAAGGACGGCAACCGUACGCGCAACACCCGCGCAUGGGGCGCACAACAUGCGCACCUGCCGAGGAGAAGCAGGGCCGGUGCAGCAUGCACAACACCUACGGACGCGGCGAACAGCAGGCGCACCGGCCGGAGAAAAGCAGGGCAAGCGCCGCCAUCCACACGCCGCGACGCCCGAGCACGGCGCCACGAAGGACGGUUUACUUCUCCGCCCCAGCACGGCGCCACCGCUGCCCUUAGUUCUCCACCCACGCCGCGAUGCCCCAGCCGCUCCACCCACUCAGCGACACGCCCGCCUCGCUCCGCUCCUCAUUGCCUGCAGCACAACUUGGCGGCUAGGGUUAGCCGCAGGGGCGCGCGUAGGGACUUAAUGAGAGAUGACGACGGUGCCGUUUAAUCGAGGGGAUGGAGGGCCGACGGCGCCUCCGCUUACUUGAGAGAUCGAGAGCUGAGGGCGGCGGCGGCUGGAGGGGAUCGAGAAGAACGGUGUUUCCUGUGGGGUGCGGGAUGGUUUUUUUGUGCGUGCGUGCGUGGGAUAGGUUUUGUUUAUCGCUGGUUAAUCGUCGUAGAUUUUUUCUUCCUCGCGAUCGAUGGUUAUGACCUGAAGAGCGAGGGGUCUGCUGGACGACUAGAUUUUUUCGGUUCGUGGUGGGUCAGCGUGAGGUGGGAGAUGGGAGGAGGUACCAAAAUAGGUACCAAAAAAACCGGGUGAGGUGGGACGAAAAUAAACCUAGAAUACCUAAGUUCAAUAGGUUUACGUCCGCUAUCCCGAUCAUGAUUUUCCUACCCUCAGGGGGAAAGUAAAAGGCCCUUCCCCCUUUGGAAGGUUGUGGGCGAGGAGGGAUUCGAACCCCUGACACCGUGGUUCGUAGCCACGUGCUCUAAUCCUCUGAGGCACAACUAAGACAUUAGGAGUAGACAUAUAUUUUGAUGCCUUACCUAUAGUUGUAACCUUCUGAGCAAGUAUGCCAAUCUGCAUGUUCGAACGGAAUUUUCUAUCGGAGAGCAAGCAGAGGUUUAUACAUCAGAAUCUUCUAUGAGAAGCAAGCAGAGGUUAUACAUUAUACAGAGGAGACUAAUAGAAGUACCAACUCGAUAUUUCUUUCUGGUCCAUACUUCCAUUGUCGGCAAAAAAAUGAAGCACUGCCUCUGUUGCCGACUCCUCCAAAUGCCCAUCGGUGUAGGCAUGCUGGAGAAAAUACAGUACUGCAUGAGUCAAACCGAAGAAGCAAAGAGCGUACGAAAAUAGACAAUUGAAUACUGAAAGAAAGGAGAAGCUAACCACCAUAUGCAUAGUUCAUUACAUGAGUCAAAUUACAAUGGUUAUAUCCCAAGGCCAUCUCACAGUCCCUAUUUUACAAAGCAUGGCUUUGAUGAACAUACCAAUCAGCUACUCUUAAUGUUCUAUAUCACCUAAGCUAGCAAUGAUUGCAGAAAACUUAUAAUAUUAUUUAGAGGUGCUAGUUCAAACUAUGACAAAUUAUUUGCAUGGCUUAUCAUCAGCAGUUAUGUUUUUACUGCCUUUAGUAUUUUAAUUAGGCUUCAUUCAGAACUGCUGCUGCACAUUAAGUAUGAGAAGGUAACAGCAGGCAAAAUAUCACACUAGGCACUGGUCAAGUUUCAGUUGAGAAUUCACACAUUAUAUAAGAAGUAUAUGUGAUGAUAGAUUUGAAUCUGAAAUGAGAUCAGCAUAUGUAUACCUUGUAAGAACAUCGGCCACCAAAGGGGCCAGAGUAUCCCUUCUAAACUCAAAGUACCUACAAUAAGUCAACGUGAAAUAACAUGUGUGGCUGAGACAAAUGUUUCAUGAAUCAACCUUUACUCUGAAGAACAUAGAAAUGAAAUUCUCUCUCUCAAGUACUAUUAACCUAACGAUCAUAUCGUGAGAUGCAUGCAACCAUUAGAUUUACUGUUACUGGCCUAAGAAUUUCUGUAUUUCUGUCUCAAAAAGUAAAAAUUCAGUCCUGAAUCCGCCCACCACCCACGCAUCUAUCACAAACCUCAUCCCCUGCUACUCCUUGAUAUUGCAACUCCUCCCCUGCUGCUCCUCGAUGCUGCAACUCCUCCCCUACUGCUCCUCGAUGGUGCACCUCCACCCACGACGGUGCAACCAGCAGCCCUUGCUCCACGACACCGGACCGACCAGUAGUGAUGGAUAUGGGUUUCGGUGACCUCCGACCUGAACUGAUGCGGCUCAAAAAAUCAACAAAACAAGAUUAGCACGUUGGAAAGAAAAUCAAAGAAGAAAUCACACGCAUCAGUACAUACAGCCAGCAUAGUACAAGCAACAAGCGCAGCUAGCAAGGCCGGCAACCAUACGCGCAUCACCCGCGCAUGGGGCGCACAACAUGCGCACCUGCCGAGGAGAAGCAGGGCCUGCGCAGCACGUGCAACACCCACGGCCGCGGCGAACAGCACGCGCACCGGCCGGAGAAAAGCUGGGCCAGCGCCGCCAUCCACACGCUGCUAUGCCCCAGCACGGCGCCACGAAGGACGGUUUCCUUCUCCGCCCCAGCACGGCGCCACCGCUGCCCUUGCUUCUCCACCCACGCCAUGACGCCCCAGCUGCUCCACCCACUCAGCGACGCGCCCGCCUCGCUUCGCUCCUCAUUGCCUGCAGCACAACUCGGCGGCUAGGGUUAGCCGCAAGGGCGCGCAUAGGGACUUAACGAGAGAUGACGGCGGCACUGUUUAAUCGAGGGGAUGGAGGGCCGACGGCGGCGCCGCUUACUCGAGGGAUCGAGAGCUGAGGGCGGCGGCGACGGGAGGGGAUCGAGAGGAAAGGUGUUUCGUGCGGGGUGCGGGAUGGUUUUUUUGUGCGUGCGUGCGUGGGAUAGGUUUUUUUUAUCGCUGGUUAAUCGUCGUAGAUUUUUCUUCGUCGCGAUCGAUGGUUACGACCUGAAGAGCGAGGCGGCUGCUGGAGGACUUGAUUCUUUUGGUUCGUGGUGGGUCAGCAUGAGGUGGGAGGAGAUGAGAGGAGGUACCAAAAUAGGUACCAAAAAACCCGGAUGAGGUAGGACGAAAAUAAACCUGAAACGAAAACUAUCAACUGAGACAUUAGGAGUAGAGAUUAAAGUGGCUAAGCAAGGCUCACUCCCGUGCACUUCAAGCGCUGGACGAUGGCUUCUAUCGUAUGUGAUGCGUGUAAUUGAUUUUUCUCGGUUUCGCGGCCAAUUGUUAUUGGCUUUUUAGAUUUUGGCUGGUCUGGUAAGGUAGCACGUUCUGACUAGCUACUCCCUUCAUUCUUAAAUAUUUUUUAGAGCUUUUAAUACGACCUACAUAUAAAUGUAUAUAGACAUAUUAUAUUAUAGGUCUAUUCAUCUUGACCGUAUAUACGCACAUACAUUCGCCCCAUAAACGCAUGCACACAUAUUUUAAAUUAUAGAUUCACUCAUUUUGUUGUGUAUGUAUGCACAUACAUUCAUCCCUAUAAAUGCACGUGCAUACACCCUACUUUUAGGAGCACUUCCGAGAUAUUGAGGCGACACAUCAUCUUGAGAUUGACAAAGUCGUCACAGACGUCUUUUAGUCGACGGGAACAUCUCCAAAUGAACGCACAUCCCCGAAAGGUUUGAAAUAAAUUCAGAAAAUGCGAGCACCAGUGUUAAGUCUAGGAAUUGAACUCUUCUGGGGAUCUUACUGUACUCAUAACCAUCCAACCAUAGAUUGGUUCGCAUGUAUUUGGCGUAUUUGGGUUGUGUGUUACAGUCUGGUUUCUCACCACGUCUGCCACAAGUCUAAUCGUGGGUAUAGUUACCUAUUAUAACUUAUAUUAUUGGUUUUGACUGAUAUAUGUUUUUCUCACCGCUUAAUGAAAAGAGUGGCAAGGUCGCCAUAACUUUCGCAUCCUACUUAUUUUGCUCCCUCUCUCUCUCUCUCUCUCUCUCUCUCUCUCUCUCUCUCUCUCUCUCUCUCUCUCUCUCUCUAACAGCGACAAACAUACACAAUAGUCUGAUGCAGUAGAAGCGUCCAUCGGUGCAUAUCCCUGACAUCUCCCGGCAACAUGCAGCCACACCUUCACCCAGUGGCCAUGGCAGUCAGUUGUGACCUACAAGCUGCACCUUUCUAGACCAUGAACUUUAGAUGGCGUUGGACGAACUAAUAGCCUUGGUGCGUCCACUAGUAGAAAAGGGGGCAAUGGUCCAGGUCAGGUCAGCCCAUUAGUCCCGGUUCAAUCCAGAACUGGGACCAAUGGGGGCAUUGGACCUGGUUCGUGAGCCCCGGGGGCCGGCCGGGCCACGUGGGCCAUUGGUCCAGGUUCGUCUGGACAUUUUGGUCCCGGUUGGUGGGACGAACCGGGACCAAUGGUCCUCGCUCCUGGCCCACCACUAUUGGUCCCGGUUGGAGGCAUGAACCGGGACCAAAGGUCGCCCAUUAGUCCCGGUUCAUACCACCAACCGGGACUAAAGUGUUGGUCCUCGUUGCGGACAGAGUUUAGUCCCACCUCGCCAACCGAAGGGGGCUCACACCGGUUUAUAAGCCCCUGCCUCUCUGCCUUGUUGAGCUCCUCUCAAAAUGAAAAUAGAUGCCCUUAUAUAGGGAAUUUGACCUCUAAAGUUAGUAGAAAUUUAUUAUGAAUUUAGGUUAAAUUUUCUCUAUAAGCGCAUCUAUGCUCAUUUUUUAGUAAAGUUAAUCACAACUAUUUUUUCUUCUAUUUAUUUCUGAGUAGUUUUUUAUAUAUUUUUUUCUUUUCUACUGUAUUUAUUUUUUUCUAUUUAUUUCUAAGUUGUAAUAAGUCAUUAAAAAUAAAAAAGAUUUUAGUAAAGUUAAUCACAACUGUUUUUUCUUCUAUUUAUUUCUGAGUAGUUUUUUAUAUAAUUUUUUUUCUUUUCUGCUAUAUUUAUUUUUUUCUAUUUUUUCUGUGUGGUAAUAAGUCAUUAAAAAUAAGCAUCUAUGCUCAUUUUUUUANNNNNNNNNNNNNNNNNNNNNNNNNNNNNNNNNNNNNNNNNNNNNNNNNNNNNNNNNNNNNNNNNNNNNNNNNNNNNNNNNNNNNNNNNNNNNNNNNNNNNNNNNNNNNNNNNNNNNNNNNNNNNNNNNNNNNNNNNNNNNNNNNNNNNNNNNNNNNNNNNNNNNNNNNNNNNNNNNNNNNNNNNNNNNNNNNNNNNNNNNNNNNNNNNNNNNNNNNNNNNNNNNNNNNNNNNNNNNNNNNNNNNNNNNNNNNNNNNNNNNNNNNNNNNNNNNNNNNNNNNNNNNNNNNNNNNNNNNNNNNNNNNNNNNNNNNNNNNNNNNNNNNNNNNNNNNNNNNNNNNNNNNNNNNNNNNNNNNNNNNNNNNNNNNNNNNNNNNNNNNNNNNNNNNNNNNNNNNNNNNNNNNNNNNNNNNNNNNNNNNNNNNNNNNNNNNNNNNNNNNNNNNNNNNNNNNNNNNNNNNNNNNNNNNNNNNNNNNNNNNNNNNNNNNNNNNNNNNNNNNNNNNNNNNNNNNNNNNNNNNNNNNNNNNNNNNNNNNNNNNNNNNNNNNNNNNNNNNNNNNNNNNNNNNNNNNNNNNNNNNNNNNNNNNNNNNNNNNNNNNNNNNNNNNNNNNNNNNNNNNNNNNNNNNNNNNNNNNNNNNNNNNNNNNGUGGUAAUAAGUCAUUAAAAAUAAGCAUAUAUGCUCAUUUUUUUAGUAAAGUUAAUCACAACUAUUUUUUCUUCUAUUUAUUUCUGAGUAGUUUUUUAUAUAGCUUUUUUUCUUUUGUGCUAUAUUUAUUUUUUUCUAUUUAUUUCUGUGUGGUAAUAAGUCAUUAAAAAUAAAAAAGAGGCGCAAUGCUAGUUAAUUCGCUUGAAGCCUUUCAGAAUAGUGUAAACUGCACUGCACAUAGCUCCGUGCAGUCUACCCUAUUCCUUAAGGCUUGAAGCGAACCAACGUGGAGGUGAGCAUUGAGCCUCUUCUUCACCGUCUCUGUACUCAGGGCUUAUAAAGAGCUGCGAGUGCCUCUCGUUGGCGAGGUGGGACUAAAAAAACAACUGCAGAAAGAAUCAACUAAAAAAUAGCUGCAGAAAAUAAAUAAGUAAUUAGACGGGUCCAUUGGUACCGGUUGGUGGCUCCAACCGGGACCAAUGCCCGUCUGUAGUCCCGGUUGGUGGCUCCAACCGGGACCAAUGCCCCCCCCCUUUAGUCCCAGGUGGUGGCACCAACCGGGACCAAAGCCCUCUGCUUCCCGCCCUUUGGGCUGCUGAAAAGAGACCUUUGGUCCCGGUUGGUGCCACCAACCGGGGCUAAAGGAGGCAUUGGUCCCGGUUGGUUCCACGAACCGGGACCAAAGCCUUUGCUAUAUAAGUAGCACUUAGGAAAAUUUCAAAACCGCAUCCCCACUUCGAUCUCUCCUCCUCCUCUCCCGAUGNNNNNNNNNNNNNNNNNNNNNNNNNNNNNNNNNNNNNNNNNNNNNNNNNNNNNNNNNNNNNNNNNNNNNNNNNNNNNNNNNNNNNNNNNNNNNNNNNNNNNNNNNNNNNNNNNNNNNNNNNNNNNNNNNNNNNNNNNNNNNNNNNNNNNNNNNNNNNNNNNNNNNNNNNNNNNNNNNNNNNNNNNNNNNNNNNNNNNNNNNNNNNNNNNNNNNNNNNNNNNNNNNNNNNNNNNNNNNNNNNNNNNNNNNNNNNNNNNNNNNNNNNNNNNNNNNNNNNNNNNNNNNNNNNNNNNNNNNNNNNNNNNNNNNNNNNNNNNNNNNNNNNNNNNNNNNNNNNNNNNNNNNNNNNNNNNNNNNNNNNNNNNNNNNNNNNNNNNNNNNNNNNNNNNNNNNNNNNNNNNNNNNNNNNNNNNNNNNNNNNNNNNNNNNNNNNNNNNNNNNNNNNNNNNNNNNNNNNNNNNNNNNNNNNNNNNNNNNNNNNNNNNNNNNNNNNNNNNNNNNNNNNNNNNNNNNNNNNNNNNNNNNNNNNNNNNNNNNNNNNNNNNNNNNNNNNNNNNNNNNNNNNNNNNNNNNNNNNNNNNNNNNNNNNNNNNNNNNNNNNNNNNNNNNNNNNNNNNNNNNNNNNNNNNNNNNNNNNNNNNNNNNNNNNNNNNNNNNNNNNNNNNNNNNNNNNNNNNNNNNNNNNNNNNNNNNNNNNNNAUUUAAUAAACUAAUUUAUUUUACUAUAUAUAGAAGUAGUUUGUAGUAAGUGCUACUUUAUUUAUUUAUAGUAAGGGCUACUUUAUUUAUUUAUAGUAAGUGAUAUUUUGUUUUUAGUAAGUACUACUUUAUUUAUUUAUAGUAAGUGCUUAGUAGUUGAACUAGAUAGUUGAUUUAAUUAAUUAAACUACUUUAUUUAACUAUAUAUAGAAGUAGUUCCCGCGUCGACGUCGGCCAUGCCUAUCCCGCAUCCUCGUUGUCGUCGACUCGGUGCUGGAGGCCUGCUUGAUCAGGGCCAUGUUCGGGACUUGGCUUCGUCGGGCUGGUAUUGGGAGGUGCUACCUUCUAGGGACGUAGGUUAGUGAGGAGGCAGUCCGUUGUUGACCCGAUCCUUGUUUGGUGGCGGUCGCGUGGGCCAGUGACGGUGUUGAGGUGUCCGGACACCGCGGAGGUGGUACGUCACCCGUGUCAGCGAGGACGACGAGCACGUCCGUCGCUACAUGGUUGCAUUGGAGGGCAGGUUCGACAAUACCUGGCAGGUUCUUCAGGGAUCUCACUGGAGCUAUGAUCCUGUGAUGGUUCCUUAUCUUUGGGUGUCCACCGCCCGCGACGAUUCUCGUCGGGCGCUACGGUUCUAGUUGUAUUAGUGAUGCUAUAUUAGUGAUAAUAUUCGACGAUGUACGGACACCAAGAGAUGAUGUACUUUUGCUUAUAAUUAUUGAAUGCAUGCUAAUUUGAAUACUACUUUAUUUUAUGAUUUGGUUUUGCUUAUUUUGAUUUUGCUUAUUGAAUGCUCAUAUUGGAUAAGUUCUCCUUCAUUCCCGUGUGCUAGACAAUUUGGUGUAAUAAUGCACUCGGGAAUGAAAGGAGGAGCCACGUACAUCACCGAUAGUCAACCCGUGAUUAAUAAUAAUGAUCUAGUUUAAUAUUUGAAUUAUGAACAUAGGCCGGAAAUAUCAUACUCGGACGACGAAAACCGCCCGGGGGAGUGCGACUGGUGCCACGACGACCGAGGUAUGUGCGACAGGUUCAUUGAGCUGGACGAAGAUCGAUACUUCAGCAUUAAGCUCGAGGAGACCUUCGAUGUUCAUACGGUACGCAACGACGACAAUAAUAUUUUUCGUAAUUAAGCACGACUUCAACUAUUUUAACGCGUAUUUUUCAUCUUUUCCAAUUCGACUAGCUUAUCCCAUGCUUUGCAAGACGCUGUGUCUUGGAGAGGAUGGGUUUUGAAGACCAUGAAAGUAUGGAAACCAAAAAAAUUAUCGUAAGUACCCAUCAUGAUGUGGAUUUUCAAGUAAAGCUCUACAAUGCUCAGAGUGUAACACAUUUUGGUUGCAAAAACUGGGAAGCACUUUGCAAGAUGUAUGGUUUUGAUGAGGGUAUGCUUGUCACCAUGGAUCUUGGUGAUCCUACAAUCGCGCAAGAGAGACCUUCGAUUUUCGUCCUUGUGGAUACACCUCCAAUUCUUCCCUCAUGUGAGCUUAACAUAGUUAUUAAGUAAUUUAUAUUAUUUAUUUCAAAAUAGUUGACAACUUAUUUCCAUUGACAUCUUAUUUUCAUUCUUCAAAGAAUGUGCGGAAGAUGGUAGACAGAACCUACUACACCGAAGGCUCCGAAUUAACUUAUCAGGAGAAAAAUCAUCUGGUCGCAUUUUGUACUGAUCUUGAGAAUUACAAUAUCUAUAAUCAAACUCCUCAAUAUUAUGGUCAAUAUGUGCCACUAGUGCACGUGUUGAACUACGGUAACUACCAUGGAGAUACCCUGAUAAGAUUUUUUACUAUUACGACAUCCGUGCAUCUUUUUGCACACUUCUAAAACUAGUACAUCAUUGUUAACUACGAAGUUAUUACUAUGUUUUUCAACAGAUAAUCCCGAAUGAUUGUGUGCCUCAUCUGAUGUAUAAGCACUGUAGCCUUCAUGUUUUGAACAUACAACCAGGUCUUUUUACGAAUCUGAACUGUCCAUACCGGGUUUCUAAAAGAAGUGGAGACAUGACAAUCAAAGAAUGGAAAAAAUGUAUGGACAGUCGUAAGGAGCUUCUUGGAAGCAAAAAGAAGCGAAGGGCAAGAAUUGGAGACAGGAUGAUCGCCAUUCUUCAUAAUGGAGAGUCAGGGUCUAUAUUGUUUUAUGUUAUUUUACCUUAAGGGUGUUUAGGUCAUGUCCUACCUGAUACUGAUGAUCAUGUGCUAAGGACAAUUAUGUAGGGUUGGGUUCGAUGACUAUGAGGAUGAUGAUCAUAUGACUUAUUAUUAAUAAUGAGUAGAAGUUGUAUGAUGAUGCAUGAUUAGUAGGACUUGUUAUUAUAUAUGAUGAUGUAUGAUGUGAGCAUGCAUGAGUUAUUAUAUCAGCGGGUGAAAUAAACAUAUAUAGCAGCAGCGUUGGUAAACCAAGGACGAAGAUAUAAGAGAGGACAUUUCUCUCUAUUAGCUAGCUAAUAACAACCUAAAAAUAACGCCCAAAACCCCUAAAGCAGCCACUUUUCUAAAAAAACAUGGAAUUUUGGUCCCGGUUGGUGCCACCAACCGGGACCAAAGGCCCCCUGACUGGGCUCGGCGCACAGGGACACGUGGAGGCACAUUGGUCCCGGUUCGUGUUUGAACCAGGACUAAUGGGUGGAGGUAUUAGUAACGACCCAUUAGUCCUGGUUCAUGCACCGGGACUAAAGGCCCUUAUGAACCGGGACUAUUAGGUGUUUUUCUACUAGUGGUCCUAGUCUUUCUUCUCUGCGUUCUACCACAUCGCACUCGGUUGGCCGGGCUCCGUCCUCCCCUCGAACAAAUCUUCACCUAAGCAAACUGCAAACUCUUUCGCCCGUUGGCCAAGAGUUGCAGCUCACCACAUCACCCUUAGUUGGUGGACAUCGUUUAUGUCAGCGGCUUGAUAUUGAGGUGGGAGGCCACGCCAUUAGCAUUCGUGAAUGAAACACCAUGGCUGAGGUUGUUGGCGCGCGAUAUCAUAGGCCGUGGAAGGAAGCACCACACCGUUCAGGACUCCUUUGAUUCAAAGGAAUUUUUAUAGGAUUUCCGGAGGAUUGAAAUCCUUAGAAUUUUUUCCUAUGUUAGUCAUUUGAUUCAUAGGAUUGAAAAUUCCUAUGAAAUCUUUUGUACUACAUUUCAUAGGAAAUCUAACAUCCAUUUCAACCUAUUUUUACAAUUUCUUUGUUUUUGAUGUGCCAUCAAACACUCAUUACUAACCUUAUACGAUUUAAGUGGGCAUGCCACUCCAACCCUAUAUUUUUCCUAUUCCUACGUUUUUAAAAUUCUAUGAAUCAAAGAGGCCCUCAGUGUUAUUCGGCUAGGUACAUCAUUUAUUCUUUGAGGUCCUGGUGUCGUCAGUGGCGGAGCCAGGAUUUUUGACAUGGGUAUGCUCAGUCAUACUUUUCACUGCACAAUAAUGUACUACCUCCAUAUCAAAAUAUAAGACGUUUUGGUAGGCUGAUUAUAGCCUACCAAAAUGACUUAUAUUUUGGUACGGAGAUGGUAUGGCAUAAAAAGUUCAUAAUAAUAACAACAAAACUAUAAAUUAUUCUUUGGCUUUCAACGUCGAUAGAUGGGGAAAUAUUAAAAAUCAACCUGUUUCUCUUGCACUCCUGCACAAGUUUUAUAGCGAGCCAAUGCAAACCACACUUAAAAUUGACUGGAUGUUACACUAGAUUAAUCAAAAAAAAUUAGAGAAUGAAGAUAAUCCUCUAUUCUUUACUAAAAAUUCGAAGAAACAUACAUUAAUAAACACUCACAAGAAACUAUCAGACGAUGGCCGAAUUGCGCUCAACCUCGUCACCGACUUGUCUACUACUCCCUUCGUUUCUAAAUAUUUGUCUUUCUAGAGAUUUCAAUAAAUGACUACAUACGGAGCAAAAUGAGUGAAUCUACACUCUAAAAUAUGUCUACAUACAUCUGUAUGUGUUGUCCAUUUGAAAUCUCUAAAAAGACAAAUAUUUCGAAAUGGAGGGAGUAGAUGGCAGAUUCGCCGAGUGUGUACUGGGAAGGACGACAUGGGCAGGCUAAGCAGAUCGAUCAGCGAGAGGCGGCGAUCCGCGAGGGUCAAAAGAUGAUGACGGCAUGCGGCGCGGCGUUGCCCAAGUUACACGAUGCGGCAGUUGAAUCAGCGGAAUCACAGCCUUGAGGCGCUUGCUUUUUUUUAGCGAUCAAGGCGAUGGCUCGGUGUCCUGGACAUCGAUCAAUCCGCCAGCGUUGAGCCUCGAGGAUAAGGCCGAGUAGCAGAGUGCCAGCCCAACAUAGGCCCUAUUUGGAUAAGGGGGUUAGACUUAGUAUUGGUUAGUUAAGGCAGAAAUAACCCUAAAUUAUCCAAACGGGUGGGUUAGAGUAGAGUUAUUUGCAUUUAACCCAGCAAAAAAAGCCAACCCGGUGGGGAGCUGCUUAUUGGGGUUAGAUGCGGUGGGUCCCAGUAAAAAAAUCAUCACUCCCCGCAUCUGGAUCGCAUCGCUCCCCGCAUCCCUUCUCGCUCCCCGCAUCGCAUCUCGCUCCCCGUCGCCGCCGUUCGCUCCCCGCCGUCUGCCCCCGUCCUCCGCCCUUCGGCCCCGCCCUCCGCCCCCGUCCUCCACCCUCCGCCCUCCGCCCUCCGGCCCCAUUCUCCGCCCUCUUCCCUCUGCCCUCAUCCUCCGCCCCUCCGCCCCCUGCCUCUGCCCCUCCGCUCCUCCCGUUCCCGUCCAACAGCGGCGCCCCCAGGCGCGCACUCCGGCGGCCGCCGCACCGGUCGCCCAACCUGCCAUGGAUGGCGACGGCCUCGAAGGGUGGGGUUCACAGCCCUCUACAAGCUGCCCAGUUCCGCACGCCGAUCUCGACCUCAACUCGCAAGCUUCGCCGUCGGAAGGGUUCCCAGGGGCUUGGGUUGUAUGGAGCUUUCCUCUAGAGCAACGACGAGCAGCUCCUCCCUGGGCGCGGCAGGGGCUCCGGGCUCCCUCACUAUCGCCCACCACGUGCUGGAGCAGGAGAUGGAUGGGCGAAUCCGUCGCCAUCCUUCGUUUGGCAACUGAACUUUGGCGGCUCCUCGACAGCGGCAGCCGAUCGCGGAGGAGGAAAUGAUGGCAUGUUCCUCAGCGGGUCGUCCAUGGGGGCAGGCGGCGGCUCCUCAUCAGUGGGUGCCGGGCGCGGAGCAGGCGGCGUCGUUUGGCAGCGAGCCAACUCAGCCGCCGCGGCACCCGGCCGCCGUAACCAGCGCACCGGCACGACGAGCCAUGGCAGUGGUGGCGGCUAUCGCAUACCGCCUCCCCGGGCGCCGCGGAGUGCCCUCCGUGGGCAAGUAUCCGGCUCCGGCACUCCCUUUGACAAUGGUGAUGAAGAAUUGGAGGACGAUGUGGAGGAGUUAGCGAGCUCCAGAGGUCCCCUGGUGAGCCAAAGCAAUCGAGCCCACUGGAAUGAUGCUAAUAGUGCUUGCUUGUUAGAAUUGUGCAUUCAGCAACGUGAAGCAGGAACGUAUAAUGGUACAGUGAUGAGUGGUGAAGGGUACCAAGCCAUUAUCGACGGCUUACUUGCUAGAAGGGGGUUGGUAUAUAGCCGUUUGCAGGUGAAGAACCAUAUAGUCGUACUCAAAAACACUUACACUUUCUGGCGAUACAUGCAAGUGCAUAUAGGGUUGGGGAGGAAACCAGAUGGAACCAUUGAUGUCGACUCUGAGUUCUGGAUAACACACACAGAGGUAGACUUUUCACUAAAGCUAGUUACUUGAAUUUUGAAGUGUGCUCUCAUAUCUUAAAUAGUUUCUUUCGCAAAAAUAAUAAAUAUCAUAACUAGUUUAUUUGUUCACUAUCCUGCAGAAGAAACCAUACCUACGGAAGUUGCAGUGGGGUCCUCCAGCAAAUGAGGAGUUGCUUGAUCAAUUGUUCAGAGGUUACACUGUGGAUGGAAGCACAGCCUUUGUGCCUGGAGAUGAUUACGGUCAGAAUCAAGGGCAAGAUUUAGGUGCAGGAGAGGAAGAGGAGGAGUUUCAAGGAACACCUACAAGCAACCAGAGGAGCCAGAGAUGCAAGAGGUCAACAAGCACUUCGAGCACUUUGACCAGUCCAUUGAAGAAGAGCAAGAGCCCAAUGGUGAAGAUUGUGAAGGACAUAGCUAGUACCCUCAAGGAGUCUGUCGCAGCUUGUUGAACAUGCCAAAAUUUCCAGAGGACAAGCAAACUAGAAUUAUUGUUGCUUGUAUGGCUCUUCAUAAAUUUCAUUCGAGAGAGAAGAAUUCCAGAUAGGGAAUUUGAUGCAUGUGAUGCAGAUGAAAACUAUAAUCCAAUGCCUAGUUCUGUUGCAUCUGCAUGGCCAGAAGACGAACCUCUUGUUGAAGAUACCAACAUGAAUGACUUCCGCGAAGAGUUAGCUCAUGCUCUGUUUCAUGGAAUGUGAUUUUUUUAAGCUUGAUUGAGGACUUGUACGUUUAAGUGAGACGUCUCAUUUGUAUGGACAAAAUAAAAUCUUGAGUACUUAUUCCUAAGUAUCAGUUUUCGGUUUUCGGUUUUCAGUUAUUCCUGUAUUUUCAGCAUUCAUUUUAAAUUUGUUAGACUUGAUAUGUGUUUAUAAUUCCUGUAGUUUAAAUUAGUUAUCUGGUGAGUCUCUGUUCUUAGUUUUUCAGUCAUCUUUUUGCUAACAAAUAGCUUUUUCUCUGCCACAUUAGUUAUCUGGGGUUUGGUUGUCUGAGGACUUUGAAAGCUCAGUGAUAACUUAGUUUUGAAUAUGUUCAAUUUAUCACUAUAGUUCCGUUUCAAAAAAAAUAUCACUAUAGUCUAGUUCACUGCCAUGGUCAGUUAUUCAUUUAUCACUUCAGUCUAGUUCUUGUUAUGGUUAAUUUUUCAUUCAUCACUCAUUUUUCUUGUAGAUGCUCUAACAUGACAGAACAGAGUUCCAUUUUUCUUGUACACACUGAAGACCGUGCUUCUUAUAUGCUUUUUCGGCAAACACACACACACACACACACACACACACACACACUUGUACGUAUGCUGAAGGUUCUGCCGUAUGAGACAGAUGGGAUGCAGAUUCAGUAAGCUAACUGGCUUCAUGCUCUUGCAACUUGUAAGGAAUUAUUUAAGUGCUAUACAUGAAAGUGCAGUUCGCAUCGUAUGCACUUGGAUCUUAAUAUAGUAUGGCCUGGACGUAUGUGUUUGUACUCCUGGGACUUAUUUAUAAACUUGCUCAGUUGGUAUGAUAUUGGUCAAACGACUAGAACGACACACUGAACUUUGGUUUGUGUAUGAAUUCAGUUUUUCCUAUUGCAGAUACAAACUUAGUCCUUUUAGCUGAUAGAAUUAUAUCAACUGUACUUUUUUCUUAGAUUUCUUUUUUCUCAUUUAGUCAUUACUUGUUGCAUUCAUUUCCUUUUUUAGUCUAUCGGUUUUUACAGGUUGAAUAAUCUCAGUGAGGGAGUUUUGGUCUGUUUUGUACUGGAUGGACUACUAGUGCCAAAGUUGAAGAUUUGCAUGGUUGCGCUACCUCCCAACCAGGUUGAUCUAGCGCUUGAGGCUGCUGUGUGGGUAGGAAAAACGACCUAAACCAAAUUGAAAAACAGAUGGCUGGAAACUAGGCACUCCCUAGUUUUUUACUGUGAGCAAUCUCUGUUUAUUUGCAUGUGUGUUGCUCCUCCGUCCACUGAUUCUUUUUGCACAAGAUAGUCGUCUCUCAUGCAAUGCGAAUUAUUCAGUACAGGUUAUUUACAUGAUUUUUGGAUUGAAUCCGUCCGGAGUCUACGUUAAUAACUGGUUAUAUACUAACUUUGUGCCGUGC